AGUGAACGCUGGCGGUAGGCCUAACACAUGCAAGUCGAACGGCAGCACAGUAAGAGCUUGCUCUUACGGGUGGCGAGUGGCGAACGGGUGAGGAAUACAUCGGAAUCUACUUUUUCGUGGGGGAUAACGUAGGGAAACUUACGCUAAUACCGCAUACGACCUACGGGUGAAAGUAGGGGAUCUUCGGACCUUGCGCGAUUGAAUGAGCCGAUGUCGGAUUAGCUAGUUGGCGGGGUAAAGGCCCACCAAGGCGACGAUCCGUAGCUGGUCUGAGAGGAUGAUCAGCCACACUGGAACUGAGACACGGUCCAGACUCCUACGGGAGGCAGCAGUGGGGAAUAUUGGACAAUGGGCGCAAGCCUGAUCCAGCCAUACCGCGUGGGUGAAGAAGGCCUUCGGGUUGUAAAGCCCUUUUGUUUGGAAAGAAAAGCAGCAGGUUAAUACCCCGCUGUUCUGACGGUACCCAAAGAAUAAGCACCGGCUAACUUCGUG
rnacentral:rRNA from 1 species